rnacentral:rRNA from 1 species
UACGUAGGGUCCGAGCGUUGUCCGGAAUUAUUGGGCGUAAAGGGCUCGUAGGCGGUUUGUCACGUCGGGAGUGAAAACUUGGGGCUUAACCCCAUUCGUGCUUCCGAUACGGGCAGACUAGAGGCAGGCAGGGGAGAACGGAAUUCCUGGUGUAGCGGUGAAAUGCGCAGAUAUCAGGAGGAACACCAAUGGCGAAGGCAGCUCGCUGGGACGGUACUGACGCUGAGGCGCGAAAGCGUGGGGAGCAAACAGG